rnacentral:rRNA from 1 species
CACAGCUCAUGCAAAGCUUAACCAACAAUACCGUUAAACCCUCUAAACCCAUAAAUACUAAUGAGCCUCUCUAUAUUUUUAUAGAACAGUUUAUGCUAGAACUAGUAACACGAAAUAAUUCUCUAAAUGCAAGUGUAAAUCAGAUCGAAAACCUCACUGAUAAUNAACGUACCACAUGAAGGAACUGUAGUAACUCAUCAAGAAAAUCCUACAACCCCCACCGUUAAUCUAACACAAGAGCAUAAAAGAAAGAUUAAAAGAUAUAAAAGGAACUCGGCAAACAUGAACUUCGCCUGUUUACCAAAAACAUCGCCUCCUGCUCUACAUGUAUAGGAGGUCCAGCCUGCCCAGUGACGUAAAUGUUUAACGGCCGCGGUAUU